CACGCCAUAAACGAUGGACACUUGGUGUUGGAGGUAUUGACCCCUUCAGUGCCGAAGCUAACGCGUUAAGUGUCCCGCCUGGGGAGUACGGCCGCAAGGUUAAAACUCAAAGAAAUUGACGGGGGCCCGCACAAGCGGUGGAGCAUGUGGUUUAAUUCGAUGCAACGCGAAGAACCUUACCCGGGUUUGACAUGAUUUGGAAGAGUGGCAGAGAUGUCCUCGCCCGCAAGGGCCGAAUCACAGGUGC
rnacentral:rRNA from 1 species